CACAAAUAAGUCAAAUUAUCUUUAAGAGGUGCGGCAGUGGAUGGAUCCAUUUUUAUGGCACUUGGUCUCUGCUCGCUGGCUACAGAUUAACCCUCUCUUCAGAAAGCGCUCACUUCUCCACACCUUUGUGGUGUGACUGCCAACCCCAGAGGAAGGCAGUUCCACUGCUCUCCCCAUGUGUGCAGUUGGGUCUGUCUGUGAGAUCCAGUUUCUGGGCCCCCAAUGUUAUAUGUGUAGAAAUGCCUCCGAAGAAUGCUAGAGAUCUAGAAGGGAAGAAAUCUAUCUGUUAUGCUCUAAUACUCUAAGACCUAGCAGAAAGCUGGAAUGAUGGUGAGAUUGUAGCAAGUACUUGGAGCAGCAGAAACAGAAGAUGAAAACACUGCCUCUCCCUGAUUUACAUGUUUUGUAUUUCUUCUGACAGAUACAGGCUGUCUUGACUUUGUUUCAUUUUGCUUAGCAUCUCACUUAGUCCCUUUGGACCUUAUAUAGUUGCCAUUGUUCUAGUCCCUGCAGUGCUUGGUCCACUGCUGGCUAGCAGAAUAGGUGGAGCUGUGCCAUGUUAUCACCCCUGGGGAAUGUUAUAUUCUUGACACUCACUCCCACACCCUGUACUUAAUAGUAACCAGGUGAAUGUUAACAUUCCACGUGAUUUAUGUGGGCUCUCCAAGCCCUCUGCUAACCUACAAAUGCUUAUGAAAAUAAGCUGGACAUUUUGAGAGGCAGCCAACUCUUUUCCAAGUAUAAUAGGAAUGGAAAAAAGGAGUUUGCAAUCGCAUCACACUUGCUGCUGCUCCCAACUGCCUGCUCUAACUGCAAGACCAGAAACUCCCAGUGUGGCCUGCAAGCACCUGUGCCAAAUAAACAACGUUUUAGCUCAGAGAACCAGCUGAACCCAUCUCCGUAGGAGUAGGAGGCAUGUGCUUAGAAGAGAGAUUUCCCUUUAGCACUCCGGACUUCUCAAUAUACCGAUUUCUUCAUUCUUUUUUUUUAAUUACUUCCCUGUUUGCUUGCUUAUUUUGAAAGGCAGAGAGCAAGGGAGACAGAGAUUGUCCAUUUGUGGGUCAAUUCCCCAAACUCCCAAAAUAGUCAGAGCUGGGCCAGGUCAAAGCCAUGAGCCAGGAAUUCCAUCCAGGUGUCCUGCAUUGGUGGCAGGAACCCAAGCACUGGAGCCUUCACCUCGUCACCUGCACACUAGUGAGAAGACGAAAUGGAGGCAGGGAUUGCUGAUCAAAUAAGCGUGAAGGAAUUGGGAGCAAUUAUAACAGAAGGAGCUUUGAAAUAUUAGAAUGGCGAUCAGUACCCAGGCAGGAGCCGGCUUCAACAAGCAUUGCCAAGGCCAUCGCAUUGGGAUUUUUCAGCUCAUGUGAAAACGCUGCCAGUAGAAAAAGUAAAAGGGCAUUUCUGCACAGCUGGGGUUCUCGUGUUCCUUUGAAGCAAGAUUGCUUAUUUCCCAAGCACAUCUGGCCUGGCAGGGUCCUGGGCUGAGAAUGAAAAAAAAAAUGUGAGCUUUAAUAUCACAUCUCACAUUAUUUAUAAGUCGUCCUUGAGGAAAGCCAAAGAGUAAUGGAAUUACAGCCUGGAAAGAAGCUUCAGAAUGGUCCCAAUCCCAUUGUUUGACUCUACAGCAGCUGAAAUGGAGUUGGGCCCCAUCUGUGCUUGGGUUCUUCCAGCCUGGGAGUCUUCAUUCACAUCCCUGCCUCCAUCGCAGAACUGCGAUGAGGAGCAAAUGAAGAUGGAGGUUGGAAAGUGUCUCGGCCCUAUGCCCUCUUUCUUCCCUGGAUUCCUAUACGAUUUACUGUUAUGUUUUAUUCUAUAUUCGGGUUGCCUGGCCUUAUUUAUUUUACUAUAUUUACCUCUCUUUUGGUCUUACUUUGAUUUUGAAAGCAGGCACCUAUACUAUGUGGCAAACAGUCAAACACAAACUAGUUGUUGAGUCUAUAGCAGUAACUAGAAUUCACUCUGUGGUUGCUGUGCACCAGCUACUAGGCUUUUGCAUGCGACAGUCCUUAGAGAUGGGCAGUGUUGAUCUAAAGAAGCUAAAGCUAGUAGUUACACUCUGCCCAGCAGCACGCAAUAGGAAGUAGUGGAGUAGGCACAGACUCAAACUUGUCUGACACAAAAGCCCUUAUUUUUCAUUGCAGGCUAUGCUUGACUAAAUUAAAAGGGACCUAAGAGAUGAGUAUUGGAAAAAAAUCAGAAGAUACAAUAGAAGCAAGAGCCUUUUGAUAUUGUGGAAGUCAAAUGGGAAAGAAUAAACACACAGCU